AGUCAUGAUCUGGUUUUGAAGAGUCAAGCAUUUGUUGUUCUGCAGAGAGCUACAGAGUACUUGGACGUGACUAACUUCAUAGAGGGUGUGCAGUAGUACUGGUUGAUUUCAGGAACAAUGGCAGUCUGGCCUCUUUGUCUGUCUUUCUUUCUGCUCUUUGCUCUGGAUGCUUCAGAGGCAACACCUCUUAAUGGCACAAGCAAUGAGACAGCACUUCUUACUGGCAUAAGCGAUGGUGAGAUAUUUUAGUGUGUUACAUUUGUUCUGUCUAGUUGUAGUGACAAAAGCAGGGUCGUCACUGGUGAAAGGUGGUGAUGAUUAUAGGGACCCACGGCUGUGGACAGAGCUCAAACACUGAACUGAGUUCUCCAUCUGCACCUGAGUGAACAAAAACAUAAACAUACAAACACAAAAAGAGAUGAAAAGCUUAAUUCAGCAUCAGUGCGCUGUGUUCUGUGCACACAGAGAGCCACGUCUCAGCCCUUCAACACCAAAUUGAGUUUUGCCUCUUCUUGCUCUUGAACGGACAAAUGCAUAAAAUAUUAUGUUGUACCUGUCUUGGCGGUCGGUUACCUCUUAAGUGAAUGUAAACUGUUGAGAAAGAAAUCAGAUGGAUUGUCUCUUAAAGUGACUGCACCUAAUUUAGCAGCUGCUGUCGAUGUCCUUAUUUUAAUCCAAGAAAUCUAAUGAGAGAAAAUCUCUCACUGC